GAUUUUCGCGGUUAUAGCCCAGUUAUAAAAUUUGAGUUUAAAGACUUGCACGUGUUUAACAAUAUCAACAAAUAUAAACAACAUACAAUGAGUGAAUGUAUAUUUAUUAGUAAACGUUUACUUACAAGAAUAUGUACUUAUAAUUAGGUAUUUGUCGUUGAAUACUUUAUGUUAAUUGAGUAUCUACAUACUAUUAAUGUUAAUAAACAAUUGUAACACUUUCGUAUCAUAAAGUUUUUGUCUUAAGACUGUGUUGUAUUGCACUAUAACAGACAUAUAAAAUUAUUAACUACGUAAACAAAGCAAACACCAAAACACAACUGAUAAAACUUAACAAAACAAGUUGUAAAACAUAAAUAUACCUACUUAAUCAAUAUCGUUUGAACUAUACCCCAGAUUUCUGUCUGCGCAACUUAUGGUAUCUAAUUAUCUAUUUGAAUGUAGCUUGACUGCUAUAUAAUGCUUAAUUAUAUACAGUUACAUACACUGCUUUAUCUACACACAUUUUAUGAGCUUUCUAUGAUGUGUUCAGGGACCGCCUGUUACGACUGUCAUUGCGGCAUUGUACACUAUUUGUCAAAAUGUCAUCUCGACUGAUAGGUAUUAGAAUUGAGGUCAUAUCAAAUUCCAUUGAAUUUCAGAGACGUUAGAAAUUUGAAUAUCUGAUAUGUGUGUAGAUAAAGUUGUUUUAAGUUAUUGUAUAUUAACUUUAAUUAUGUAAGUAGUUCUGUUUGUUUCGAUUUGGCGGGAGCACCGUGCCCCCAGAUAUGAGCUACACUAAAAAUGUAUAAAUAUAAAAAAAUGUAUAACCUUUGUGUAAAAAAUAUAUAAUUAAGCUGCUAACAAUAAUAAACCCGUGUCUAAAUGUUUUAAAAUGACUAGGUGAAUUCUAU